CUGGGAUUAGAUACCCUGUUAUUUAAAAUGUAAUUUUAUAAAUUAAGGUAGUAUUAGAUAUGAUCUUUAAACUUAAAAAAUUUGGCGGUAUUUUAGUCUAUUCAGAGGAACCUGUUUUUUAAUCGAUAAUCCACGAUGGACCUUACUUAAAUUUGUAAUCAGUUUAUAUACCGUUGUUAUUAGAAUAUUUUAUAAGAAUGUUAAUUUUCAUAAUUUUUAUAAAAAAAUAUAUCAAAUCAAGGUGUAGCUAAUAUUUAAGUAUUAAUGGGUUACAAUAAAAUUAUUUAAGCGGAUAUAAAUUUGAAAUGUUUAUUUAAGAUGGAUUUGAUAGUAAAAUUAUAAAGAUUAAUAAUUUGAUUUUAGCUCUAAAAUAUGUACAAAUCGCCCGUCACUCUCUGA
rnacentral:rRNA from 1 species